AAAGUAACCAUCAUUGUUAUAGUACCCAUGAUUUCUUUCAAGCUGCUCACCAUAAUUAUUGUUGGUACCAAGAAAUGGUUUAUCCAAGUGGUACUAGACACGAAUCCCUUAAGCAUGUAGUAAAGGGUUUGAAUCCUGACGAAUGCAUAUAUGGAGAAAAUCUUGUUGAGAGGGAGAUCCCACUUAUGAGUGCCAACAGGUCCCUUGGAGGAUAUUAAAAUCCCCUUGGCCGGAAGCAGAUAUACUUAUUUGCAAUCGUAUGCAACAACAACAAUUAUUGUUGAGAAGUCUUACAGUCAUUGCGAAUAGCCAAUUAGCCGCCAACAAAAUGAUGUUAUUUUAAGAGUUUAUUCUUCUGUGAAAUCAUUUUAAGAUUUGUGAUAUAUGCUAUUGUUUUGCCAUUAUUUUCAUUUCAUUUUUACCUUCUGCAGACAAGAUUUUGCAAGAAAUUGAUGCUGUAUCCUACAGAUUGCUUGGCUAACUUCUUUUUGGCACUAUCAGAAUAUUCUAUAAAAAGGUUGAAUAUGUGCUUGAAGAUUGUAAUGAGGUUCUCAUCAAAAUCAACAAAUUUGUCGUCAACAAAGAAGGCUUAGUAUGUGUGGAAACGUUGUGUAUGCCUGUUACUAAACCAGAAAGAUUUGAGUUGGAUGCUUUUGAGUUAGAUGAACCUGAAGAUGCUGGCAGGUAUGCUUUUAUUAGGUUAGACUUUAGAAGCUUAAUGAUUAUGUAAUUUUCUUCAUACUGCUUCUCUGGAAGAAAUUAUGCUUAGAGACAAAGAUAUUAGAAUUGUUUCACUAUUUUACUUUUAUAGUAAAUGUAAUCUUAUUCUAUUGUUUGAGUAAUACACUAUUUUACUUUUAUAGUAAAUGUAAUCUUAUUCUAUGCAAAAGACAUAGUUCGUUUCCCUUUCCAACAGAAUGCCACCAUACUUUACUUAUUGCACACUGUGUACAGAGGCAGAGAGAAUCUCCCAUUACUUACUGUGCACUAUGUUGCCUUGAAAUUGUGGAAACUCCAAGGAUGUUAGAUGUACCUGAAUCUCAGGAUUUUGACAUUCCAAUUUUUAUUGAGAUAAAAUCCUUUUGGAAUCUCCCGAAACAAAUGAAGUGCCUCAUUUGAUGGAUGAGGAAACAAAUUCAUGUGGAACUAUAUAACCAAUCAGAAUUAUUAGCUGGCUUUGGAAAGUUGUCAGUUUGAUUAUUGCUUACAAGAUUGGCUUAUGAUGGUCUUCUUUAAUGAUGUACCGGAAAGUUGCAAGUUGAUGCAGAAACUUCUGUAAAAAAAAAAAAAAAGUUUGGUGACUAAUUUUCUUAUGGCAGUGAUGCAGAAACUUGAGUUAUGUUUUCUUGUCUUACUACUCUGCUUUUUCUGUAGAUGACAUACUUUGUUAAAGGAUGAAAAUUUGUUCUUCGUAAC